rnacentral:tRNA from 1 species
GCCUGGGUGGCUCAGUCGGUUGAGCGUCUGACUUCGGCUCAGGUCACGAUCUCGCGGUCCGUGAGUUCGAGCCCCGUGUCGGGCU